rnacentral:misc_RNA from 1 species
GAUGAAGAACGCAGCGAAAUGCGAUAAGUAAUGUGAAUUGCAGAAUUCAGUGAAUCAUCGAAUCUUUGAACGCACCUUGCACCCUUUGGCAUUCCGAAGGGUAUGCUCGUUUGAGUGUCAUUGUACUCUCACACUUCCGAUCUUUGGAUUGGGAGCGGUGGACUUGGGUGUUGCUGCUUACUGUGGCUCACCUCAAAUCGAUUCGUGCACCUCUUGGUUGGACAUAGUACGGCGUGAUAAGUGUCUUCGCCGGCACCUCAGUAGAGGGUGGCUGAUCGGGAGCUCUGCUUCAAACCGUCCUCGGACAACGACUGACACCUUGAACCCAAAUCGAGUAGGACUACCCGCUGAACUUAAGCAUAUCAAUAAGCGGAGGA